UUAUCAGACUUGUUACAAGGUUGUUCUAAUAAGUCUGAUACAGUCAUGAUAUAACAAGGUUGAUGACAACGUUACAAGGUUGAUGACACAAGGUUGUAACAAUAUUGUUAUGUAAUGACUGUAUCGGACUUGUUGGAACAACCUUGCAACAAGUCUGAUAA